UAGGGAAUCUUCGGCAAUGGGGGGAACCCUGACCGAGCAACGCCGCGUGAGUGAAGAAGGUUUUCGGAUCGUAAAGCUCUGUUGUUAAGGAAGAACGAGUGUGAGAAUGGAAAGUUCAUACUGUGACGGUACUUAACCAGAAAGGGACGGCUAACUACGUGCCAGCAGCCGCGGUAAUACGUAGGUCCCGAGCGUUGUCCGGAUUUAUUGGGCGUAAAGCGAGCGCAGGCGGUUAGAAAAGUCUGAAGUGAAAGGCAGUGGCUCAACCAUUGUAGGCUUUGGAAACUGUUUAACAUGAGUGCAGAAGGGGAGAGUGGAAUUCCAUGUGUAGCGGUGAAAUGCGUAGAUAUAUGGAGGAACACCGGUGGCGAAAGCGGCUCUCUGGUCUGUAACUGACGCUGAGGCUCGAAAGCGUGGGGAGCGAACAGG
rnacentral:rRNA from 1 species